GUGAGGAAUAUUGGUCAAUGGGCGGAAGCCUGAACCAGCCAAGUAGCGUGCAGGAUGACGGCCCUAUGGGUUGUAAACUGCUUUUGAAGGGGAGUAAAGUGAGUGACUUGUCAUUCAUUGCAAGUACCCUUGGAAUAAGGACAGGCUAAUUCCGUGCCAGCAGCCGCGGUAAUACGGAAGGUCCGGGCGUUAUCCGGAUUUAUUGGGUUUAAAGGGAGCGUAGGCUGCCCGGCAAGCGUGCUGUGAAAUACAGUGGCCCAACCACUGGACUGCAGCGGGAACUGUCGGGCUUGAGGGCGCACGACGAAGGAGGAAUUUGUGGUGUAGCGGUGAAAUGCUUAGAUAUCACGAAGAACCCCGAUUGCGAAGGCAGCUUGCGGGAGCGCGACUGACGCUGAAGCUCGAAAGUGCGGGUAUCAAACAGGAUUAGAAACCCGAGUAGUCC
rnacentral:rRNA from 1 species